UACGUAGGGGGCAAGCGUUGUCCGGAAUCAUUGGGCGUAAAGAGCGUGUAGGCGGCCAGAAAAGUCCGCUGUGAAAACUCGAGGCUCAACUUCGAGCUGUCGGUGGAAACUUUCUGGCUAGAGUCCGGAAGAGGAGAAUGGAAUUCCUGGUGUAGCGGUGAAAUGCGCAGAUAUCAGGAAGAACACCGGUGGCGAAGGCGGUUCUCUGGGCAUUACCUGACGCUGAGGAGCGAAAGUGUGGGGAGCGAACAGG
rnacentral:rRNA from 1 species